CCUACGGGUGGCAGCAGUGAGGAAUAUUGGUCAAUGGACGGAAGUCUGAACCAGCCAUGCCGCGUGCAGGAAGACGGCUCUAUGAGUUGUAAACCUCUUUUAUGCGGGGAUAAAGGUGUCCACGUGUGGAUGUUUGCAGGUACCGCAUGAAUAAGGACCGGCUAAUUCCGUGCCAGCAGCCGCGGUAAUACGGAGGGUCCGGGCGUUAUCCGGAUUUAUUGGGUUUAAAGGGAGCGUAGGCCGGUCUUUAAGCGUGCCGUGAAAUUUUGUGGCUCAACCAUGAGAGUGCGGCGCGAACUGGAGACCUUGAGUGCGCGGAAGGCAGGCGGAAUUCGUGGUGUAGCGGUGAAAUGCUUAGAUAUCACGAAGAACCCCGAUUGCGAAGGCAGCCUGCCGCAGCGUGACUGACGCUGAAGCUCGAAAGCGCGGGUAUCGAACAGGAUUAGAUACCCGGGUAGUC
rnacentral:rRNA from 1 species